rnacentral:lncRNA from 1 species
GCCAACCAUAUGAAAGGCCUGAAAGAAUUGGACAUGUCCUACUAUCUUGUCCCAUUUCUUCUUGAAUUUAGAUUGUGUGUGGACCACACUUUCAUAAUAGAUCCACUCUCAAACAUUGUUCUUAGAGAAUGGUAGGUAUUGAGCAACCAAACAAAUUAAUUAAAUUAAGAAAAAAGCAAAGCUAGUACAAAUAGAAGUAAAUAGAA